ensembl:lncRNA
UCAUCUUGGGUGAUUUCCUCUAGUCUUUUGUUCAGUUUGCUGAUCUCUUCUUCUGUAUCAUCUCCUCUGCUGUUGAGUCCCUCUAGUGAGUUUUUCAUUUCUCUUAUUGUAUUCUUCAUUUCUGAUUGAUUCUUUUUUUGUAUUUUCCAUUCUUUGUUGAAGUUCUCACUGUGUUCAUCCAUCCUUCUUCUGAGAACAGUGAGCAUCCUUAUGAGUCUUUGUUUGAACUCUUUGUCAGGUAGAUUGUUUAUUUCUGUUUGUUUAGUUCGUUUUCUGGGGUUUUGUCUUUUUCCCUUACUCGUAAUGUAUUCCUUUGUCUUCUCAUUUUGCCUCUUUCUCUGUGCUUCUAUCUGUGUAUUAAGUAGGUCAGCUACAUUUCCCAAUCUUGGAGAGGUGGCCUUAUGUAGAAGGUGUCUUAUGAGGCUUAGCAGUGUGCUUCCCACUCAUCAUCAGUUCCAAAUGUUCCAGGAGUGUCUUCAUGGGCUAUGUGUGUCCUUCUGUUGUGGCAGAAUUGCUGCAGGUGCCCAGGGAGCCUAGGCUGUCCCCCUGCCUGGCUUUUUGUAAUGAUCACUGCAUGUGGCUGCUAUGGACACUUUAGUCACUUUAUAGGACAUGGGGAACCCCAGAACAGUUGGCUGCAAGGUCUAAUAACACAUUCCUGUUGCAGUUUUUCUGUUAAGUGAGUAGGCCCCCAGUGCUAGGCUCAGGGGCUUGCAAUUGCUGUAGGCCUAUGGCCUACAAGGCUGUUGUCAGCUCUCUCAGGGUUUUAGCUGAGUGCAGCUGGCCCCAGGCGUGGGAGCACCCAAUUGUUUCAGGCUUUGGAAGGUGGGCUGAUUCCCUAUGUGCCUGUCUGAGAAGCACAAGUCUGCUGUAGCUGACAAGACCCACCACCCACAGGACCACACACCCCUUCAACACAGUCCUGCCCCUUGCACCCACCCCGACUCACUGAAGUGGACCUAGUUGCCCCACUGCAAAGGCUGCACACACUCCACCACCACAGGACUGCCCCCUACGUGUGCCCUGCCCAGCAGAGGCAGACCUACUCACCUGGUUGCAGAGGUUUCAGGCACUCCACCUAUGCAGGCCCGCAAGUUGCCCAAGGGCUUGCUGUUGGGUGGGGCCAGUCCCUAGGGCAGGCUGCCUUGACUGAGAUGGAUUAAAUCAGUACUCUAGUAGGUGGGGCAGACCUUCAGGGUAACAGGUCAGAGGAAGAACUACAAUGGCAUCUGCCAUCAUCUGUGUCAGCUGGCCUGUAGUAGGUCACCAUAAUGGCUGAUGCCAAUGUCUCAGUGCCUGAAGACGUCUCACCUCUCACCAAGAUGCACCCAGAGCCUAUCAGCUGAGGAAGAGAGAGCAAAUCAGACCUUGGACGUUCAGAGGAAAAAUUAAGUUAUUCUCUACUUAAGGCACUUAAUAGGCAUGCAUCAUAAUGAGGUGGUAAAGGCUGGACCCAGGUUUCCAACCCAGGCACCUGUGUGUAAAAAGCUGGCUCUUUACUGACGGAAUCCACUAAUUUACUGUUGGUGAGGUUCUGGUUGGAGAGCUGAGUGAAGGCAUUCAUCUUCAUAAGACCCUCCCCUGAGGACACCAAGGGACAGUUAAGAUUUUGCUUGGCAAUCUUGGAAUUAGACCAAAGAUUCCUGGCUGUCUUUGAGGGUUGCAUCAACCCUACAGGACCAAUGAUCUAGACACAGCCCGGGCAGCGGUGGAGACACCCUGAGAGUCUCAUUGCUUGGCUUCAGCUUCCUGACUCCUGCAGACCCCGCCCUCUGUUACCUCAGAGUCAUUGCAGUCCAGCUGAGUAGGUUACCAUAAAUCACGUUCCAAUGUGUUUUCCUGCGGAGACAUCCGGGGGUGCUCUGACGGGACUUGAGGGAGAUGCUGGUGACCUUAAUUGAAUUUGUAAGGCAUCCUGUUCGCCUUCAUGGAAAAUGGGGAGAAGCCCUACUCCCAUCAACAGCACAUUUACGACCAUCCCCUGAGUGGUUUAUUUCUGCAGAUGGAGAAGCUCAGUCAUUUUAUUUUCUGAUUAUUUUCAAUUUACUGACCAAGUUCUGGGACCGGACCCAGUUUGAGAUAGAAGCAGUCACCAAGUCCAGCAUUGAAAACCAUCCCUCUCAGUGACUGCCUUCCUUUUGGGCCCUGCCGUCUCCAUGGCGUGGGUCAUCAUCCGGGAGGCAGCCGGAGGGAGGAUCCAUGGAGAUGGAGAAAGAGGACUCCCCAAGGGAAGAAUGAAGGAGGGAAGUGGCCAAGGCCCCUGCCAGGACCUUUGCGUGUGUUAUUUCACUCCAGCCUCACCACCUGUGUCACCCCCGUAUUACAGAGGAAGAAAUGGUCUCAGAGAAGGUAAGGAACAUGGUUUUCAGAACUUGUAAACAGUGGAGCUGAUUUCAAACCCAGGCGUGUCUGACUUGAAAGCUGUUGCCCUUUCUGCUACCCCAGGCUGACCUGUCGGGCUUGGCCUCGCUUUGGAGACACUUCCUCUUUAAACCCUGAUCAUUUCUUCCCGAGAGGGCUUGGCACAAGGAGUUGGAUCCUGGACCAACUCCACGGCUGUGUUCCUGGGGUUUGUUGCAGACUGAGUUUCCACGUUCUUGCCAUUACCCAGCUCUGGGCUGUGGUAUCAGAUGAGCCGCGGCUUUUGGCUCCCUGAGCCUGGCCGAAUGGCGCUGGCUGUGGUGCAGUCUACUUUCUGUCCUUGCAGGUAUGAGUGUGGUGGGAGCUCAGCACCAAACCCUAUCACCUUCCUUCUGUCAGGCAGCUGUCAUCACCCCCACAGGCCUUUUCUUCACAGCUUGUUGUCAGGAGGCUGGCCAACAUCUUGGGAAGGUGAGAGAGGAAAUUGGGAGGCUGGGGCUGGAGGGAAUCCUGCCACCAGCGUUCUCUCUUCCCCUAGGUCUGAUGGAAAUAACACUGCUCCGGCACCCGGAGACCUGGCUGUGGCCCAGCCUCAGCUGCACGUCAGCGGCAUGGCCCUGGAGACGACCCUGUGGGAGGCGACUGUCUGCUAUGGCGGAACCCCGGGACACCCCUUCCUCGGGGAGCCUUUCCUUUCUCCUCUGGUGGCGAGGCUGAUGCCUCCUCCCUGACUUGGUGAGGACCGAGUGAAGUGGGAUAUGUGCUGUGCCUUGGAAACCGUCAAAUACCACCUAAAGUCUAGUGUCUUCAGUGAACUUCAGCCCCAUCCUGUGGCCUCCAGUUGUGUGAUACUAUCAGAUGGCCCCUUGCUGCUGGAGUGGAUGUUCUUGGCAAUGAAAAGAAGAAGUGGGGGCAAAGAGUUGCUCAAAGUGUUGGGAAAAUUGGAUGCCAGAAUUUGUAGAUCCCUGGCCAACCAAGAGACAUGGGCAGAAGGUGACCUGGUCUUCAGAGCUCUCACAAGAUCUCUGAGAGAGACUGGUAUGACAGUCCUUGGGGACCUUCCCCCUUUAUAAAUGCUGUGUUCAUUUUUUAAUAAGAUAUUUGACAUAUAUAAAAAUAAAAUAUAAUGUAUGUAAGGUGAAAAAAAUACUCCUGGACCACUCGCCCAACUUGAGAAAUAGAACGUUGCUGGAAUGAUGAAGCAGCCGCGGGCGCUCGCUGCUGGUUGUCCCCUCACCAAGAGGAACAUGUGUGUCUGUUGUUCUCUUGCCUGUCAUUGCAGUUUGAAAACGUGUUUAGUAAAAUGAAUAUAUUUGAUAAUUUUGUGUGCAUUUGAACUUUAUGUGAAUAGUAUCACACAGGGUAAUUUUUUGUGCCUUCUGUUUUUCAGGUUCAUCUGAAUUGAUGCCUUUAGCCAUAGUUAAUUCAUUUUUGCUGCUGAAUAGUAUUCCGUUAUAUGACUAUGCCACACUUUUUUUACCAUCCCCUGCCUGUGUGCAUUUGGCUAUUUCCCAUUAUGCUAUUGAUAGUAAUGCUGCUGUAAAUAUUCUUGGCCAUGUUUCCUGGGCACGUGGACGAGAUUUUCUCCUGGGUCACAGUAUUUCCUUUUACCAUUUUCUCUAUAUUCUCAUCUUCUCUGCUAGGAUUCUCUCCUUCUUCAGUGAUGUCAUUUCUGGUUAUUGUCCUCAGAGACUCUGCUGCACACACCGAUGGUAUAAACGUAAACAAGCCACAGUGCCUUUCUUUGGUCCGCUCCAGGGUGGCGGAAUAACUGAUCACAGCAGUCACGUUGUGACCCACUUGAAACCCCAGCGCUGGAUUCUUGGAGACGACUAUCUCGCCUCUGCCUUUCCCUGAAGAACUUUGCUGCUUUUACCAACAUCUCUCAUCAUUUGACUUCUGCCCCAGCCUCUGUGGAAGAUGCCCUCUCAGAGCUCACCAGUGACCUCCCAAGGAUCAAGGCUGAAGGCUGUGUCAUUGUCCUUCCUCACCUGGCUGCACCCCUGCCGUCUGAAACUCCUUCUUUGGUUUGCACAGCAUGCCACUGCCCCGAUCGUCCUCCCGACCCGUUCCUCGUCUGCCUUAUACUUCUUGUCUGUGUACGUUCCUUAGGUUCUACCUCGGAGAAAUCAUCCAUUCCUUCCAUUUUAGCCAAGACACAACCAUCUAACCCAGGAAAUUAACAUUAGUACCAUUUAACUCUCAGACCCUGUUUGAAUUUUACUUAUUGUCUGAGUAACGUCUUUUACAGCAACAGGACCUAACCUAGGAUCAGUCAUGUCUCAG